AAAGAUUGAAUAUGUACUGUGUAGACUCUGAACCUACCUUUGAGGCUCCCACUCCUCUAAGAGGACUCCUAUGAGUCCUUCAGUAACUUAUGUUGACUUUUUGUCACUAACAAAUACUUAAAAGGAACAACUACAAGAGAAAAGAUAUCUUUUAGUGUCUCAGAGGUUUCUGUCCAAGUCCAGCUGUAUCAAUUGCUUUGGGUCAGGGUAGGGCAGGCUAACAGGGUUCUAACAAAAAGCCCUGUGAGGGCCCAGGCAGCCCACAAUGACAGCUGUGUGGGUAAUUGUCCUUUUCUUAUCUAAUCUUUUGGAUGGGAGUGAGGGCAGAUCUUCCCUUGCAGGCAUGCCCAGGGCUGUGUUUUGCCAGUCUCCCAGGUGUUGCUCAAAUCAAUGGAGCAUAACAGAAGCUGCCCUUCAACCUUUAGAUUCAGAACUAGAGUGCACUGAAGACCAACCCCUCCAGGGAGUUUUCCGACUUAUACUAUGAUCCAGUCUUGUCUGCCAAGAGGCACACUAGUUUCUAGUAUUGUAACCUUUGGCAGAAUAGCACGUUUGUGUGCGUUUGAGACCACAGGCAGCAGGAUCCCUUGAGAAGACCCACGCUGAGGUCCGGGUCCUGAAAUGGUCUGGUUCCUUGCUACCUUCCUGAUUUUGUCCUUGAUUAUUUCUUCCCUGUUCUUUCCUGUGAUGGCUUCUUCAGUUUAUAAAAGAUGUCAAACACAGUUUCCUCUCUGGGGCCCGGCUGCUGCCAAUGCCUUUGGGGCUCUCACUUACCCAGUUUAUUUAAGUCUUAGCUUAAAUGCCACUUUAUUAAGGAUGCUUCCAUUUCCCUGCCACCUGAACCAGCUUUCUAUAUUCUUGUUGCUAUUGUCCCUCAGUUGUGCUUUAUUUUCUUCCCAGACUUCUGUUUAUCUUGAUGUCUUUUCAAAGUUCAGUUCCAUCUAUAUGUUUAUUUGCUUUUAUGUGUGGUUUUGUCCCCUAGCAGAUGUAGGCCCUCCACAAAUAUUGGUUGUUAACAUUUAAUUCAAAAUGCCUACUAAUACAAUUGUAAACAUUAAGUUGUCUAAAAUGUAUAUAAAUAGCCUCACACUCAUGGGUCAAAUGGGGCAGAGCAUAGGUUAUCAAGCAAGACUCUAAUGACAGCUUCAGAAAUGGGCAUUGGAGCAUUGGCUGCCCUGGGAGCAGCCCUGUCUUUACCACCUGGGCUGUGUGUUCACUACUACAAGGCACUGACACCACAGAGGAAAACCACAUGCAGUGAGGAUCUUCACCACUUCAACUUGACAGCUGGAUGUUCAUGAAGACCGGCAGUUCCCGUCUCUGCAUUUGCACAGGUGGGUAAACGGUCUGCCCCAUGGCUGGACCUUCAAGUGUAUCUGCUGAAUUCACAGCCAACAGGCAUCUUUAUUGAGAGCUGGGUUCCUGACCAUUGGGAAAAGACAGUUUCUCUUAAUUGCCUUCUGUCACUAUAGGAAGAAGAGAAGUGACCGCAACAGAGAGCUCCACAUGUAAGUGACAGGAAACAGGGAUUUUUGUCACCACUUUGGAGCGUGGGAUGGGCAUGCACACCCAGUCCUCAGCUGACCAUUGAACGGAAGUGGAAAGGGCACAGAUCUGGGUAUCACAUCUUGGGGCAGGAUUUGAAUUAAUCUGCUAUUCUCAUUGGACCAGUUACUGCCAAUGUCUAUCCUUCUAUGGGCAUAACUGAGAAUUUUCAUUUGAAGACUCUGUGGAAACAUUUAGUAGAUGUUAAAUAGAUAAACACUCUUUAGCGGUCAAGCAGAGUGGGCCGAGCGUAAGCCCCUCUGUGAGCCCCCAUUAGCUUGGUUUAUGAAGUGGGAAAGCAAUGCAAUGUUCUAGCUCUGUUAGGCUCAGUGGUAACAUACCACUAGGCUGCUUCUGCUGGAUGCUCCCAAAUGCAGCGUUAUUACUGUUGCUAGGUUCUAAAGAUGCAACCGAGGGGUGUCACAAGUGUGUUUGUAAAGCAGAACUCAGAUAUUUAGUAUAUUGCCAUAAAGAAAAGGAAAAAUAAUUUUAAAAGCACAAAAAUCCAAUUUAGUAUACGAGGUAAUAAAAUGUUGAGUUACAUUGUUGAAUAGAAUAUUGUCUAAUAUAUGUAAAAACUAAGUAGAUAGAAAUACUUUGCACUUUGCUUUUAAUUCGUAUACUUUCUUAUGUUUUAUGAAUUUCAGUGCUCCCUAAAAGCAAGAGAAAUGCAGGCUUGCUUCUUUUCCACGGAGUCACAAUUCUGACAUUUGAGGGUAAAAAUUAUUAAACCUGGAUGUCCUCAGACCUCUUGGUAAGCACCUUUACUGGCUGAGUCCUCAGAUGACCCUCAGAGAAUUUAGCAGUUUUAUCCAAGGUAAUGUGUUCUUGAUAAUGUAAAUAACUCUCUAAAACUGUAUUUCAUUUUUGACAUGUAUAUCCAGGUGACCAAGAUAUAGACCCUGUUAUUGUCCUCUUGAAUUCUUGGACGGAACCUGGUUUUCUUUGUUACAUUUUGCGAUUAGCCAGGUCACUCUUCUGAUGCCAAAUGCAUGAGUCAAACUUCUUGUGGCUAUGUCUAGAAGAACCACAAACACAGAGAAGGCAGACUGAAGACUCACUGUGCUGCCUGUGCUGUCUUUCAUCUCUACCUGGCUCAUUUAAGUAGGAAAUGCUGCACUAAUGUAAUGGUGUCCCUAGAGGGCGCUCUGCAUCUAGUUCACUAAAAAAAGUAUUGACUUUGAUUCCUUGAGGUUUGCACCUUGAAUUUUAACUUCAGAGAUUGAGAUGCUGAAGGAUGAAGGGAGGAUAGAUGGAACGGCAGUAUGGAUGGGUUACCUGUGAAUAAAAAUUACAGUCCAUUCCUUUUGUUUAAUAUAUUUUGUUAAAAAUUUAAUAACUUUUUUUGGUUUAAAAUAUAGAAUACAUCUUGAACUAGCAUUUCUUCUUUGCGCAGAAACCACGUGAAUCUUUCAAUUACCACAAUUUAAGAAGCUGGACAAUAAAAGUAAACACCCCUACUUCUUUUUUAAAAUUAACUGUCUUUGUAGUUGUGAUCCUUGUUGGAUAUUCUGGGCAGCAGAGCUACAGAACGGCUGUCUUCCUACUUGCACAGCUUGUGAUAAUGUAUAGAAUUACUCACAUAUAAUAAUAGCUUUCGAUGAUUUGACUGAACAUGUUCUGUAACUUUUUCUACCUCUGACACAGUGCCUUAGUAGCUUGAUGAAAGGAUAGGGGACAUAUUAUCUGAGGUUAAAGGACUGUCACCCCUGUGUACAUGCGGUGUAAUCAUUCUUCUUGUUGUCAUGUUCCUAUGGAUACGAAAUUUAUGAAGUUAGGAUUUCUUUUUGUUCCAAAAAACAGUGAAUCCUUCUUUGAGAACUGAUUACAUAUUUUCAACAUCAACAUAAGCAUAAAUAAAACUACAGUUUAUGGCUUAAGAAUUAGCUCAGUGCCUGCUUAUCAUGUGUACAAUGACAGGGUUUCAUCCACAGCAUAAGCAAAAAGCAUGCAAUCAGCAAGUAAACUAUUAAUCUCUACGUUAAUAACAACUUUGAAUGAAGAAUGGGAUGUUUAUAUAAUUUCAUUAUAUCAUGAUCAAAACUUGGUAUUAAAAGAACAUGGCAUGGAGGGAGGAUAGAAGGAGGAGCAGAAUGUGGAGGUUACUUGUGAAUGAAAGUACAGGCCAUUUGUUUUGUUUAACAUAAUUUAUUAAAAGUUUAAAUAAAAUAUUUUUUGGUUUAAAAUAUAGAAUUCUGUCAAAAAUAGUGUAGAAAGAAUCUACAUAAGACAUCAUACACACAUACAUGUGCACACUCACAUUGGUAUAUUCACAUAUGCUUACAUACACACAUGGAUGCAUAUUCACAUAUCCAUGCUCAGGCAUACAUCUAUAUGCACACAUGCCAAGCCAUGAACACACGACCCUACAAAUGAAAAUCUUGGUAGAUGGCUGAAGCUCAUAUAAAUGAUGCUCAGAAUCAUCAGAAAAAAAUACAAAUUGUAAUCAGAUCAUAGAACACAUUUAAAUGGCUUUAUAUUUGUAGUAUUUCUGAUGAUAAUUUAAAAGCAGAAUUCUCUUACAGGAAAAUGUAAGGGCAGAGAAGCUGUGGUGUUUUGAAUAGGUAUGGUCCCUAUAGACUCAUGUGUGUGAAUGCUUAGCCCAUUGGGAAUGCCACUGUUAGGAGGUGUGGCCUUGUUGGAGGAAAUGUAUCACUAUGGAGGCAGGCUCUGAGGUCUUAGACACUCUCAAGUUAUGCUCAGUGUGGUACACAGUCCAUGGCUGGCAGCCAUCUUUCUAAGUUUAAAAGGAGGUAGAACAUGUUGACUUCUCUGCUUAUCACUGUAUCUCCUUUUUUUGUUUGUUUGAGUAAAGAAGAAACAGCAGGCCUCCAAAAAAAAAAAUGCCCCAUGCCCUACCUACUUCCAGAACCUGACCUAAGCUGCAAACACUGCCUUGCCAAAGUAGACCAGUUCCCCCAAGCUCUUCAACAAGAAAAUCUCUUAGGUCUGCUGGGUCUUGUGAUGGAAGGUCUAAUGAUGCCCUGUGGCAGGCAGACUACCUGUAACCCCAUCAAAGCCUUCAAUGGUAACGUGGAGGAGUCCAGGCUGCCUGUCCAUGUAAAAAGUAAGUCUCCGUCAUUCUUAAUUGGUUCAGAGGCUGUUUGCUCUUUACUUCCUGCUCAAAUAUAUCCUUCUCAGAUCUCUGGGAUGGCAUUAGUGGAGGGCCCAAGCUUUAUUAGACAGCAAUCAGCAGCAAGCUGACCUCAGCCAGCCCCUCCUGCUAAGCGGCAGCUGCUAGGGCGGUCCAUUCAUAGCUAGAAAGUCCGCUUUCAUCUAAUCCAUUUUAGCUUCCCAAUAGCUUUGGUUACUAGAGAUGGACAUGUUACCUGCUGAUGAUACACUUAAAAACCCCUUUUGAAAAAGUUUAAAUUACCUGCAAAUUACUGGAGUCUCUUAAAUAAAAAGGCUUCGAGGCUGAGGAACAAUUAAUGACCUGCCAGCCUGAAUUCAUUUUAUCUGUAAAACGCUUUUGCUUUUCCUAAAGCUAGUAGGUCUCCCACUGAGAAAGACAAACUCCCAGACAAGUUUACCUUGCUGACAGGCUUCAUGUUGAGAAAGACAAACUCAUGGAUUUAGAUGUAAAAGCUACCACGAUGUCAUUAUUGACUUAGAAUGUACCUAUUACUAUUCUUCUUUUAAAAACUCUCUUUUCAAUGAGGGCUUUCAGUAACAGAAGACUUGUGUCUCAAGAUAAGUGAUUAAAUGUUUUAAAAAAUGUUUAAAUUAUGAGAGUUACUAAGAUCUGAGGAAGUGACUUAAGAGGUGUGAGUGUACACUGUGAAGGUCUGAGGAAGUAAUUUAAGGUAUGAAAAAGUAGACUUAAAGAUGAUAUAUAUGAUGUUAAGACUUCGAAGUUUAAAGUUAAUCCACAGAGUUCAGAUAGUUCAUUAAUCUAAUCUUGGUAGUAUUUCCAUUAUCAUGGUCACAGACUCAAAAUUGGUUGUUUUCUUUUCUAGCCUUAACAUGUUUCCUAUGGUACUAAGAGUAUCUCUGCUCAGUGUAAUACAUCCAGCUCUCUGGACAGAGGAGUGUUCGCUUUAUUUCAGACCAUCUUUUGCAUCCUCAAGCUCUUUGUUUCUGUAAUGAGACAGAAAUUGCUGUAUUAUGACAAAUGAAAGCUUAUGCUUCCACCAUGUUGAUAACUGUGGUGGUUUGAAUCAGAAUGGUCCCUACAUGCUUAUAAAUUGAAAGACUGAAGGAGUAGCCCUAGUUGAAGGGAUCAGGAAGUAUGGCCUUGUUGGAGGAAGUGUGUCACUGGGGAUGGACUUGGGGGUUUCAAGAGCAGAAGCCAAGCCCAGUGUUCCCUUCCUGCUUCUAUGGAUCCAGAUGGACAACUCCAAACUUCUGCUCUAGCGCCAUGUCUGCCUGCACCCCACCAUGUUUCCUACAGGGAGAACAGUGAGUGAAACCUCUGAAAGUGUAACCCAGCCCCAUUGAAAUGCUUUGCAUUGUACCAGUUGCCAUUGUCAUGGUGUCUCUUCACAGCAACAGGACACCAAUAAGACAAUAACUUUCCAAGUUUUACCUUGUUAUGGUGCAAAUAUACAAAUCUGCUUGAGCAGUUUACAGACACUUAUUUCCUCCUGUUCCUUUAGCAGGACUUCAGUGCAUAUUACAUACUAAUAUUUCUAAAACUUACCUUUUUUUUAAAAUCAACUUUAAAGGAUCCAGGCAAGCUUUUAGGGAGUUGUGACUUGGAGCCAUCUGCCACAGGUCAAAUGAACCCCUUCUUCCCCCUCCUGUUUGGUGUAUGUUCCGUUUGUCCUCCAGACCUUCUAGGCUAAGGGACAGACCUGGAAGUAGUAAGUGAAGAGCCCCCUAAGCUCAUUAGCUUUACCUUCUGUCCCCAGUCCUUAUCUGUCCCAGCAGAUUUCCACUCAGGUGGUAGACACCAUCUAGGAAUCAGAUGUGGUCUAGAAUCGGCUUCAAAACAGACCCAUCUUCAUAGCUCCAGAUCAUUCUGAAGACCUGGCUAUCUCUGGGCUUACUGAAAGCCAGUGUAAAAUAGUCUGACCAAAGGGAAAAACUGGCUUGUGAACUAUGGCUUCCAGAGACUAUGUCUAAGUUGGAGUUCUUGCUAUGCUCCUCACUGGGACCCUGGUUUCUCUUCCUCCUUGGCCUACUGGUUUCUAUCCUUCUUAUAAUAAUGAUUGCUCUUUGUCUUCUCCAGUUCCUUCUAGAGAGAAUUUGUGAAAUAACCUGAAGUUCAUUAGGCCAGAUGCUUCGGAAGGAAUUUCCUCAGGUCUCCUACCAUUGUCAGCCAGCUUGAUUACUGGUUUUGGACCAGCAUUCCAGGCUCCCCUUUUCUCAAGGACCCCAGCAACAGGAAGUAACCAGAGGAUUUAUCAUCUCUUAUCAUCAACAAAAGGCUGAACUGUUAGGUCUAAAGCCACUUCCCCAAGUACCACCAUUGCCACUACCAAAAUAUAAAAAAAAAGGCACUGCACUGCUGAUGACAUCAUCCCAAACAGAUCAAUCACUAACAGAUCAACUGGAACUGAUUUUUGGUGUCUAGCUGAAGCAGUCAGAGAAGAGUGCUCCAAGGAGGAGAAAGUGGGUCAAAUACAUCUGGAAUCACAAUGUGCCAGAAAGAGCAUCUUUGAAAUACCACAGGGAAAAGUUCAGGUUCAGGAAGCCAUCUGUGAGGUGACACCAGAGCAAGGGUUGUAGCUCACCUCCCUUGAAGAUUGCUAACUCCUUCCUAACUCAGACAUGGCUUGAAGGGUGGUGGCAGAGACUUUAUUCUUUCUUUCUUCGUCAAGCCCAGAAUUUUGGAAUGGUGCUUCUGGCCAGGGAAAAGGGUGUCUGUGCGGGCAUGCGAUAUCAGCAGACCAUGCGACUCUACUUUAAUAAACAUAGUCAAUGCUGGGGUGACAUUUGGCAUUUUUUCUAUUUUGUGUUAGGAAGAUGUGGCUGCUUUGACUUGGUUCCUUCUCUGCCCUUGAAAGGACAGAAAUCAUCCUCGUGAAUUUCCUCUGCCUUCGUUACUACCUAAACCAGUGACGCCAACCACACCAGAGGAUGCUGAAGAACAGCUUUCCCAACCGUGGACGAUGCUCUGCAAAGAAGCCACCACAGGAAUCACAAAUUCUCUUUUGCAUAAUCUUAAACUAAAUAGAAUAUUAACAAUCUAAGAUUUCUCAAAAACGUUAUAGGAGGGCCCUCCAAACUCCUUAUUUAGACCCAGUUUCUCAAAACUGUACCUAGUUGGAACUCGCCAGGCUUUGGGGGGUUUCCACACUUCUGAGCAGAGUUUUUCAUCUUUACACAGAGUUGUGGCAGUUGGCAGCUGUUGAGACUCCAGAGUCGGUGCAUGUAUAAAGGGGACCCUGAGAAUGUACCCAGGCCAGCAGGUUCCCUCUGAGCAUUCAGUAACCACCCACAGCCUCCUGAGUAGAAUAUGUCCUAUUGCUUUGGUGAAACAAUUUAGAGCCGUGGGUGACAGCUGGUUGUGGUUUCAAGAUCAUCUGCCAGUCAUUACGUUGGCCAUCCAUUUUUCCAUAGAACUUUAUUUGUUUUAACAGCCUUGGAGAGAAUAGUGUUUCCCAGCACCCCCCCCCCCCCCGGCCAGCAGAUUUUGGUUCCCUGGCCUCACUGGGUAUUUCAGCCUCUCUGCUCAGGCUCUGUUAUGAGAGCAAGCUGGAAUGUAGCUAAGCCUGGAUGACAGUGUCACAAAGGGAAGCUGACUUUUUGAUCUGCCAGGUUAAAGUAAAAGUAAAGGUCACUCUGUGACAACAGACUUGACUGCAAGUAAAAGAGGAACUUGGUGUUGGGGAAGAGAGGAGGAGUUAAGGUCAAGAGGAAACUCAGCAGCUUUAGUCACUAUGGUUGACUUGUGAAUGGACUCUAAUGAUGAGUGUGGAUGGGUAGGGGGCAAGAAGGGAAGUCCAGAAAGCCCUGCUAAUCAAAUGUUCCACCACGGAGCAACUUUGGUGAGCGUCCUGAAGCUGAUGCUGGAAGGAUGCCACAUAUGCCUUGAGGCUGCUCCAUGGGAGUAGCUCUCUGCAGCUGUGGGUUACACACUGGAAUAUCCCAUCAACACCCAGCAUUUGUGUCUCCUGUGUUUGCAUACUGUUUCUAAGAGUUAUUCUAUAUGUUUAAACAGGAAAAAGCAAUCCUAAAAUAUAAAGGAAAGUAGCAUUUCUAAAGUGGAGGGAUGAUCACUCUUUUCCACUAUUGGCUCAGGCAGAUGAGAGCUGAGUAUUUGCAUGCCUGUCUGUAUGUUUCAUGGAGAACACGUGCCAACAUAGACAGUGCUCUACAAGCAACUGAAGACAUGGACUCUAGAUAUACCUCUGUUACCAGCCAGCUGUGGUUUGGGAAGACUUUUAGCUCAUCAGUCCAUGCUAUAAUAAUACCACUCAUUUAUUCGACAUUCACAUUGCAAGAACCCAUUGCAUGCAUGAAGAUCUCAUUUCGCUCAUAUGCAAAUUAAUGGAACUACCUUACAUCAACUCCAGUGUCGAAACCAUGCUCUUGAUUUUAAAUGUCACAUUUUAUUAAUGCUGAGAUGAAACUCUAGGUAAUCCACCAUUCUAUAUGGGCUCAUUUAUUUACUUACUGUAUCACAUGCUUCUUCUAUACGGUAGCCUGUUUUAUUUUUACUUUCUUUAUAUAAAAUUUUUCAAAAGCCCUAAUUCAUCUUAAACAUGCUAGAUUCAAUCACUGAGCUACAUUUUUUCCUAGACCCUAGUUUUUUCAUUACUUGGUAUUUUUACAUUGUAUAGACACAUUCAUUUUAACAAAACAAACAUUAGAAAACACACACAAAAAAAAAGAAAGAAAGAAAGAAAAGAAACAGUUUCCUUCAGUUCCACUGGGCUGUGAUGAUUUAGUAUUAUGAACAGAUUACCAGAUUGUUCUCUAUGUUCAUCCAACAAAUGUUUACAUGGAUAUGUGUCCAUACAGGUAUUUGUAGAAUACAAGAUAUAUAUUUUUAAAUUUUUUUCUUUACUUUUUUUUUUGUCUUCAAAAUCUUGAUCGUGCUGUUUUAGUCUUCAGAAUACUAGCCUUACAUGAUACCUGUCCUGUCACAGGCAUUCUAUCAUAGACAUAUCACUUGUAUAUCAGUGCUCACUUUGUUAUGUACAACUUUAUUUAAAAUUGUUGAAAUAGUAAAUAUAGACACAACCCAGGACAUCUUGUAGAAAACUACUUAGGAAGCAGAGCUAUACAACUUUGUGUUCAUGAAUGUUCCUUCUUAACCUUUAUAUUGAAAAAUGAACUAUAUAUCUAAUCAUUCAAGAAAAUGUGUACUCAUGGCACCUUUUGAGAAAACAAGCGUAUUUGAGCUGCCUUUUGUUUUGUGUAUUUGUUGCUGAUUGGAGACUGAAGAUGAAGGUAUCUGGAAUGCUCAGAGAAUUAUUCAGACAUAUACAGAAUGCUCAGAACCCAGCAAAGCUGUAAGCGAGUAAGAAAUAGAUCAACGAUGUGUUUUAGCCUAUAAAGAACUCACUAAACUUUAGUAAGGGAAUCAAAGAGAAAAGUAGCAAGUCCCUUUCAAGUGGAUUCUGUUUAAGUUUGUUAGACAUCAGUCUGUAUCAUGAAGUGAAGUAGAAUAGCUAAACUUAAUGGAGGAAAUGACUAUGAGAUGCACGUGCACACACACAAUGUAUUAUGUAUAUAUAAAAUUUUAAAAUCAUGCCAUGCAAGACUGGUGACCUGAAUUUGAUCCAUGUAGUCUACAUAAAGGUUAAUGAGAGAACAGACUCCACAAAAUUAUUCUCUGACCUUCACAUAUGCCUGUGGCAUAUGUGUCUAUGGAUAAUUUAAAGUUAACUUAAAUUUUAAUUUAAAUCAUUUA
rnacentral:sRNA from 1 species